CAGACAUGUAUAAGAAUAAAUCGAGACCAUCGGGACUUUUCUUGAUAUGGAGGUCUGAAAUCAUGCAAAUCCAACAUUAAAGGGAAGUACCGUUUGGAGCAAGACCAUCAUAAUCACCGAAAGAAUUGUUGCAAAAGAAACGUGAAGCCGGACGGAAUCUGGUAAGCAUGUUAGAAGAAAGGAGCUUUGAUCUGAUGAAGAGGUUUGUGGAAGCCAUCUUUUGAUCAAAAUAAACCUGUGCAUGUACUCUUAUACAAGAAUAUAUUAGGGUUGUGUUUCUAAUAUAAUUAUCUUAACCAAAUUGGAUAACUACAAAACCAAACCGAUUUAAAUUCGUUAUUUAUUUAUCUUUAUCUUAAUCUUUGAAACAAGCAUUUCAAAUUUUAA